CCUGGUUGAUCCUGCCAGUAGUAUAUGCUUGAUUCAAAGACUAAGCCAUGCAUGUCUGAGUACGUGCCGAACUAAGGCGAAACCGCGAAUGGCUCAUUAUAUCAGUCAUAGUUCAUUGGAUCUGUGUCCCGAGUUACUUGCAUAACUGUGGUAAUUCUAGAGCUAAUACAUGCAUCCGAGCUCGGAUACCCCGCCCCGCUCGUUCUCGCUUCGCGCGAGUCUUGCUCGGGGUGGGGAGAAGAGCGCACUUAUUAGAUACUCUAAAACCGGCCACGCGGAUCUCGAUCCGUGAGACCUUUGAAUUGACCUCUCGAAUGUGAAUAACUUAGCCGAGCGCUUACGGUCUUCGUACCGGCGCCGUAUCCAGUGAGCGUCUGCCUUAUCAGCUUUCGAUUGUAGGUUAUGCGCCUACAAUGGCUGUAACGGGUAACGGGGAAUCAGGGUUCGAUUCCGGAGAGGGAGCCUGAGAAACGGCUACCACAUCUAAGGAAGGCAGCAGGCACGCAAAUUACCCACUCCCGGCUCGGGGAGGUAGUGACGAGAAAUAACGAUGUGAGACUCAACCGAGGCCUCGCAAUUGUAAUGAGUUCAAACUAAAUACAUGAACGAGGACCGAGUGGAGGGCAAGUCUGGUGCCAGCAGCCGCGGUAAUUCCAGCUCCACUGGCGUAAAUUAAAGUUGUUGCGGUUAAAAAGCUCGUAGUUGAAUUUCGGAUUCGGACCGAGGGCCCGCAUCGCGAGGCGAAUCCUCGCCGCUCACGGGUUUGCGGAGUUUUGGUCGCGUUGUUCGCGAGGAGGGGCGGUCGGUUAAGGCGUCGUCCGUCGCCGCUUUUGCGGGGGCCGUUCGAACCCGCGGGUCAAACGGGAUAGUGGCCGGGCUCGUUGUCGAUGAGCGUGGAUAUGCGCCCGAUCAGAGUGCGUGGCGAACUGUUUAACAACUGCGACGAUUUUUCGUCGUUGCCGCGUAUCUCCCGGGUGGCAGCCCGCUCGUCUUUCGAGUCGCUGGCGCUGUUUCGCCGCUGGCUGUUUCGGCGGACCAACCUUCGCUUUAGCGCGCGCGGGCGUUUUCGCUCGGCCGUCUUGAGUUUUUUUCUUUUAUCCUCUGCGACGCCGUCCUUUUUCGCGCCCGGGCGAGUGAUUUCGUCUGGUCGGAUCACCACUCGGCUCCGAAUUGCUAAGACCGUCCGUCGUCUCGGGGUGCUCUUCACCGAGUGUCCCGCGUGACGGGCACGGUCACUUUGAUAAAAUGAGAGUGCUCAAAGCAGGUAUUUUUCACGCCCGAAUGGCGGUGCAUGGAAUGAUGGAAGAUGACCUCGCUUCCGCUGCCUUUUUGCCGGUUUUUGGAAGCCGAGGUAAUGAUUGAAGGAAACUGACGGGGGCAUUCGUAUUGCGACGCGAGAGGUGAAAUUCUUGGACCGUCGCAAGACGAACUACUGCGAAAGCAUUUGCCAAGAAUGUUUUCAUUAAUCAAGAACGAAAGUUAGAGGAUCGAAGGCGAUCAGAUACCGCCCUAGUUCUAACUGUAAACUAUGCUGACCGGCGAUCCGUCGAAGUCAUUCCCACGACUCGGCGGGACUCCUCCGGGAAACCAGAGUGUCUGAGUUCCGGGGGUAGUAUGGUUGCAAAUCUGAAACUUAAAGGAAUUGACGGAAGGGCACCACCAGGAGUGGAGCCUGCGGCUUAAUUUGACUCAACACGGGGAAACUCACCAGGCCCGGACACCGGAAGGAUUGACAGAUUGAGAGCUCUUUCUUAAUUCGGUGGGUGGUGGUGCAUGUCCGUUCUUAGAUGGUGGAGCGAUAUGUCUGGUUAAUUCCGAUAACGAACGAGAUUCUANCCUAUUAAAUAGACGGCGGAUCGUAUCUCGAGACCGUUGGGUUCUUUCGUCGUUGUUCGGCGUCCGGGAGCGUCUCNCGGGUGGGGGAUGAGAGACGAUUUUUUUCGNCGGAGUGGGUUUUCUUCUUUCGGGGAGGAGACUGCUUCGUUCGGGGAGGUCGUUUUUUCUUUCCUCUUUAUUCCUUCGCGGUCGUUUUCCGGCGUCUACGACGGAUCCCCUUCGUAAACUCGGGGCGUCCGUCUAUCUUCUUAGAGGGAUCGGCAGCGUCCAGCUGCAUGAGAUGGANCAAUAACAGGUCUGUGAUGCCCUUAGAUGUCCUGGGCCGCACGCGCGCUACAAUGAGCGGAUCAGCGUGCUUUUCCUUCUCAGAAACGAGGUGGAAACCCCUUGAAAUCCGUCCUCACUAGGGAUUGGGGCUUGUAAAUGUUUCCCAUGAACGAGGAAUUCCUAGUAAGCGCGAGUCACCAGCUCGCGCUGAUUACGUCCCUGCCCUUUGUACACACCGCCCGUCGCUACUACCGAUUGGAUGAUUCAGUGAGGGCAUCGGACUGGCGCCCGCGGACUCGGCUUCGGGUUGCGUUCUCUUCGAGAGCGUCCGUCGUCGACCAAAGGGCUGACGGAAAGAUGUCCGAACUUGAUCAUUUAGAGGAAGUAAAAGUCGUAACAAGGUUUCCGUAGGUGAACCUGCGGAAGGAUCAUUA
rnacentral:rRNA from 1 species